AUGGCGGGGGCCGUGAUCGUGCACCACCACAACAGGUACAAGACGUACCCCGGCGAUGUCACCGGCUUCGUCUUCUACUCCUGCCUCGUCGCCUCCGUCGGCGGUUGCAUCUUCGGCUACGACAUCGGCAUGGCCGCCAGUUUGACGUCGACGGAGUCGUUCCUGCUCUUGUUCUUCCCGGACAUCUACCAGCAGCAGAAGGAUCAGGUGAUCACGAACCAGUACUGCAAGUUCGACAGCCAGGAGCUGUCCCUCUUCGGCUCCUCCCUCUUCCUGUCUGCGGCGACGGCGUCUCUCUUCGCGAGCCCCAUGGCCCGCGCCUUCGGCAGGAAGUGGACGCUCUUCUACGCCGCCGUCGCCUACGUCAUCGGCGCCUGCAUGGGCGGCAUAGCCACCACUUUCGCCAUGCUCAUCACCGGCCGCUUGCUCCUCGGCGUCGGUGUCGGCCUCUGCAUCCACGCCUCGCCUCUCUACCUCUCGGAGAUGGCGCCGGCGCAGCAGCGCGGGAUGCUCAACAUCCUCUUCCAGCUGAUGAUCACCAUCGGGAUCCUGUCGGCCAGCCUGACCAACUACUGGACGUCCAGGUUCCUGGGCGGGUGGGGCUGGCGGGUCGGGCUGGGGAUGGGCGCCGUCCCGGGGUCCGUCAUCGCGCUGGGCUCCCUCGCCAUCCCAGACACCCCCAUCUCCCUGCUGUCGCGGGGCGAGACCGAGCUCGCCCGCGCGACGCUGUCCCAGAUCAGGGGCAUCGGCCCCGACGACGUGCGGCAGGAGUUCGACGACCUCGCCGCCGCGUGCGAGGAGAGCAAGGCGGUGGCGAACCCGUGGUGGGAGCUGCUCUUCACCGGCAAGUACAAGCCGCAGCUGACGUUCGCGCUGGGCGUGCCCUUCUUCCAGCAGCUGACGGGCAUCAACGUGAUCAUGUUCUACGCGCCGGUGCUGUUCAAGACGGUGGGGUUCCGGAACGACGCGUCGCUCAUGUCGUCCGUCAUCACGGGGCUGGUGAACGUGUUCUCCACCUUCGUGGCCGUGGUGACCGCGGACAAGGUGGGGCGGCGGGCGCUGUUCCUGCAGGGCGGGACGCAGAUGAUCAUCUCGCAGAUCCUGGUGGGCACCUUCAUCGGGCUCCAGUUCGGGCUGAGCGGGACGGGGGCCAUCUCGGAGCAGUACGCCAUGUGCAUCGUGCUGUUCGUGUGCGUGUACGUGGCCGGCUUCGCAUGGUCAUGGGGGCCCAUGGGGUGGCUCAUCCCCAGCGAGGUGUACCCGCUGGCGGUGCGGUCGCAGGCGCAGAGCAUCACGGUGGCCGUCAACAUGUGCUUCACGGCCUUCAUCGGCCAGGUGUUCCUCACGCUGCUGUGCCACCUGAGGUUCGGCCUCUUUUACUUCUUCGGCGCCUGGCUGCUGCUCAUGACCAUCUUCAUCGCCGUGCUGCUGCCGGAGACCAAGUGCGUGCCGCUCGAGGAGGUGUCGCACGUCUUCAGGAAGCACUGGUUCUGGAGGAAGUACGUGGUCGACACCAGCGCCGAAGCGCGCGGGGCCGAGAUGAGGAAGAGGAUAGCGCUAGAGAUGAGCUGA
rnacentral:rRNA from 1 species